CCUUUGACGAUUGACUCAUGUUGCCUCGGCGGGCUCGCCCGCCAGAGGAUACAUCAAAAAUCUUGUUUUAACGGUGUUGUCUGAGCUACAAGCAACGAAUCAAAACUUUCAACAACGGAUCUCUUGGUUCUGGCAUCGAUGAAGAACGCAGCGAAAUGCGAUAAGUAGUGUGAAUUGCAGAAUUCAGUGAAUCAUCGAAUCUUUGAACGCACAUUGCGCCCCUUGGUAUCCCGAGGGGCAUGCCUGUUCGAGCGUCAUUUCACCACUCAAGCCUGGCUUGGUGUUGGGCGACGUCCCCUCCGGGGACGCGCCUCGAAACGCUCGGCGGCGUGGCACCGGCUUUAAGCGUAGCAGAAUCUUUCGCUUCGAAAGUCGGGGCCCCGUUUGCCGGAAGACCUACUUGCAAGGUUGACCUCGGAUCAGGCAGGGAUACCCGCUGAACUUAAGCAUAUCAAUA
rnacentral:misc_RNA from 1 species